GUGGAAAUGAUGAUUAUUUCCCGAGAUGAUCGAAGUUGAUUAUACUGUUCGCAUUUAAGUAUUCUCUAUUACGUUAUAGAGAAUCCAAGUCAGAAAUCUGAUCCUA
rnacentral:snoRNA from 1 species